CCGCUGGGGAGUACGUCGCAAGACUGAAAUCAAAGGAAUUGACGGGGGCCCGCACAAGUGGUGGAGCAUGUGGUUUAAUUCGAAGCAACGCGAAGAACCUUACCAGGUCUUGACAUCCUCUGACAACCCUAGAGAUAGGGCUUUCCCUUCGGGGACAGAGUGACAGGUGGUGCAUGGUUGUCGUCAGCUCGUGUCGUGAGAUGUUGGGUUAAGUCCCGCAACGAGCGCAACCCUUGAUCUUAGUUGCCAGCAUUCAGUUGGGCACUCUAAGGUGACUGCCGGUGACAAACCGGAGGAAGGUGGGGAUGACGUCAAAUCAUCAUGCCCCUUAUGACCUGGGCUACACACGUGCUACAAUGGAUAGUACAAAGGGUUGCAAGACCGCGAGGUGGAGCUAAUCCCAUAAAACUAUUCUCAGUUCGGAUUGUAGGCUGCAACUCGCCUACAUGAAGCCGGAAUCACUAGUAAUCGCGGAUCAGCAUGCCGCGGUGAAUACGUUCCCGGGCCUUGUACACACCGCCCGUCACACCACGAGAGUUUGUAACACCCGAAGUCGGUGGGGUAACCUUUUAGGGGCCAGCCGCCUA
rnacentral:rRNA from 2 species